rfam:Felis catus isolate Cinnamon breed Abyssinian chromosome D1, whole genome shotgun sequence.
GCCUGGGUGGCUCAGUUGGUUAAGCAUCUGACUCUGAUUUUGGCCCAGGUCAGGAUCACUGUUGGUGAGAUCCAGCCCCAGGUU